UCAGGCAGCCAUGAACCCCCAAGUCGAAAAAGCUGGCUGUGGCUCUUAAGUAGCUGCUGCGUAUGUGUCGCGCCUCUUGUUUUUCUUCACCUUCCUGUGUUAUUAACUAAUGACAGCGUGUCAACACAUUCUGCUCUAAAAGAGCGUGAGGAGCGCGCCCUAACCAGCGUACACACCCACCUUGCCAUACAGUGGUUGCUGCCGCCAUAAAAUUUAUGGGACGUCACGCUGGAUGCGACCCACAAACUGCUUAAAACGGAGCAAUCAUAUAUGUUGUCACUGAUUGUGGGACGUCAGAUGUAUCGAAAGGGGUGCAGUAUAUAAUCCUUUACUUCUCGGAUAUAGCCUUGGAGUUGCCGCCUAGAUGUCAGUGUCACUUCAGUGGAAAGUCCCUAAAACAGCCCCCUCCUGGUCCCCUCUGAUCCUCCACCACAACAGAGAAGGAAGAGAUAGAAGAGGAGGGCCCCCUUGGGCCAAUUGAUAUAGCAGAGGCUCUGCAACAGCUUCUCCAAGCAGGGCCAGACUGCGGAAGAGGAACAGGAAGAGGAAGCACAAUAUCACAGGACAACAGAUAUGCUGCAGGCUGUAACAGUGCUGCUCAGUUCCAGGAAGUCUAGAUGCAAUGAAGAUAAAUCAUGCCAUUGAUUGACAGUAUUUAUUUCCAUAAUUUUAUGUUUACAACUAAUGAAUUACAGGCAUAUGAUAUCUCUAUUACAUACAAAUUUCUCCUCCCAUCACAGUGAACCAUGCAGCACCCAUGCAUAGACCUUGCUGUCUCUCCCUGUAAUUAUUACUGAUGACUGUGGAAACUGCAGGGUCAACAAGGGUAGUGAAUGAACCACUGAGAAAGGGAUGAGCCAGAUCUCAGUAGCAGAAUGCAUGCAUUACACAUGUAAGGUGGUCCCACAUCCAGUCCUUAGCAUCUACAGAUUGCAAAUAGCACUUAAGAGUAAAACCUCUAUCUUUGCUUGGAGGAUGGGUGGGAAGCUCCAGCCCACAGGCCUACUGUGGCCCAGCAUGGGUUCCAUGAGGCUGUUUUCCCCAAAACCAUACCCACAUGGCCCACAGCUGACAUCACAUGAUAUCAGAUGUGGGGCAGAUGGAAAAGCGACAACCAAUGCACAUUUGGGGGCAUUAAAGUCCACCCCCAAUUGUGCAUUGGCAAGGGAAGCUGACUGUCACUGCCAAUGAACUGAAUUGUGGCAAGAGCAAGCCAGCCAGAAUUUUCCAUGGGGAAACUCCAUAGUGAAGCCAAUCCAAGAAGAAAGUGCUUAAACUCAGUGCCUAUCAGCUGUGCUACAGAGCUGCCAGUCAAUCCUUGAAGGAAUUUCCAAAGACCUGAGCUGGGCUCUUUGCAAGCCCCUUUCUUCUUGUACCUCACAGGAUUCUUUGAAAGCCCUAUGUAAAGAGUCCCGUUUGGCUCUUUAAAGCACCCACAAUCAGCUGAUCAGUGGCACUUCAAAGCACUGGACAGGACUCUUUGCAAGUUCUGCAUGGUGCUUUGCAGUCCUGAUCAUCAUGGGGACUGCAAAAUGUCCUAUCACCUGACAUCAUUGUGAUGUCAGGUGAUUUACAGGUAGGUGGUCCCACCCACCAGUUAAAUUUGGCCAGAGAGGGGUAGGGGAGUUAAGGAUCUGGCCCACCAAUUUGCAGAACUCCUGGCAGUUUCAGUAGCUUGUGCUGCGUGAGCUAGAUGGACCAAUGCUAAGGGAAUGUCAUAUAUUUGAUGUACAACUGGUUCACCAGUUAUGGUCAAUCAUGAACAGGGUAGCCUGGUCUCAGGUUCAUGCUCUAGUGACUCCUGCCUGGACUCCUGCAUGUGCAUGGGGCUGCCCAUGAAGAUGAUCUGGAAGCUGCAACUAGUGCAGAAUGUAGCUACUAGUUGAUAAGUGGGAUAAUCUAAUGGGACCUUGUGUCACCAGUCCUUAAA